AUGAACGCUAGCUACAGGCUUAACACAUGCAAGUCGAGGGGCAGCAUGGUCUUAGCUUGCUAAGGCCGAUGGCGACCGGCGCACGGGUGAGUAACACGUAUCCAACCUGCCGUCUACUCUUGGACAGCCUUCUGAAAGGAAGAUUAAUACAAGAUGGCAUCAUGAGUCCACAUGUUCACAUGAUUAAAGGUAUUCCGGUAGACGAUGGGGAUGCGUUCCAUUAGAUAGUAGGCGGGGUAACGGCCCACCUAGUCUUCGAUGGAUAGGGGUUCUGAGAGGAAGGUCCCCCACAUUGGAACUGAGACACGGUUCAAACUCCUACGGGAGGCAGCAGUGAGGAAUAUUGGUCAAUGGGCGAGAGCCUGAACCAGCCAAGUAGCGUGAAGGAUGACUGCCCUAUGGGUUGUAAACUUCUUUUAUAAAGGAAUAAAGUCGGGUAUGCAUACCCGUUUGCAUGUACUUUAUGAAUAAGGAUCGGCUAACUCCGUGCCAGCAGCCGCGGUAAUACGGAGGAUCCGAGCGUUAUCCGGAUUUAUUGGGUUUAAAGGGAGCGUAGAUGGAUGUUUAAGUCAGUUGUGAAAGUUUGCGGCUCAACCGUAAAAUUGCAGUUGAUACUGGAUAUCUUGAGUGCAGUUGAGGCAGGCGGAAUUCGUGGUGUAGCGGUGAAAUGCUUAGAUAUCACGAAGAACUCCGAUUGCGAAGGCAGCCUGCUAAGCUGCAACUGACAUUGAGGCUCGAAAGUGUGGGUAUCAAACAGGAUUAGAUACCCUGGUAGUCCACACGGUAAACGAUGAAUACUCGCUGUUUGCGAUAUACAGCAAGCGGCCAAGCGAAAGCGUUAAGUAUUCCACCUGGGGAGUACGCCGGCAACGGUGAAACUCAAAGGAAUUGACGGGGGCCCGCACAAGCGGAGGAACAUGUGGUUUAAUUCGAUGAUACGCGAGGAACCUUACCCGGGCUUAAAUUGCAGAUGAAUUACGGUGAAAGCCGUAAGCCGCAAGGCAUCUGUGAAGGUGCUGCAUGGUUGUCGUCAGCUCGUGCCGUGAGGUGUCGGCUUAAGUGCCAUAACGAGCGCAACCCUUGUUGUCAGUUACUAACAGGUUCCGCUGAGGACUCUGACAAGACUGCCAUCGUAAGAUGUGAGGAAGGUGGGGAUGACGUCAAAUCAGCACGGCCCUUACGUCCGGGGCUACACACGUGUUACAAUGGGGGGUACAGAGGGCCGCUACCACGCGAGUGGAUGCCAAUCCCAAAAACCUCUCUCAGUUCGGACUGGAGUCUGCAACCCGACUCCACGAAGCUGGAUUCGCUAGUAAUCGCGCAUCAGCCACGGCGCGGUGAAUACGUUCCCGGGCCUUGUACACACCGCCCGUCAAGCCAUGGGAGCCGGGGGUACCUGAAGUGCGUAACCGCGAGGAGCGCCCUAGGGUAAAACUGGUGACUGGGGCU
rnacentral:rRNA from 1 species